rnacentral:rRNA from 1 species
AGAGUUUGAUCCUGGCUCAGAGUGAACGCUGGCGGCGUGCCUAAUACAUGCAAGUCGAACGGACAAGUAAGAGCUUGCUCUUAUGAGUUAGUGGCGCACGGGUGAGUAACGUAUAGUUAAUCUGCCCUACACUGGAGGACAACAGUUAGAAAUGACUGCUAAUACUCCAUACUCCUUCUUAACACAAGUUAAGUCGGGAAAGUUUUUCGGUGUAGGAUGAGACUAUAUUGUAUCAGCUAGUUGGUAAGGUAAUGGCUUACCAAGGCUAUGACGCAUAACUGGUCUGAGAGGAUGAUCAGUCACACUGGAACUGAGACACGGUCCAGACUCCUACGGGAGGCAGCAGUAGGGAAUAUUGCUCAAUGGGGGAAACCCUGAAGCAGCAACGCCGCGUGGAGGAUGACACUUUUCGGAGCGUAAACUCCUUUUGUUAGGGAAGAACACUGACGGUACCUAACGAAUAAGCACCGGCUAACUCCGUGCCAGCAGCCGCGGUAAUACGGAGGGUGCAAGCGUUACUCGGAAUCACUGGGCGUAAAGGACGCGUAGGCGGAUUAUCAAGUCUCUUGUGAAAUCUAACGGCUUAACCGUUAAACUGCUUGGGAAACUGGUAAUCUAGAGUAAGGGAGAGGUAGAUGGAAUUCUUGGUGUAGGGGUAAAAUCCGUAGAGAUCAAGAAGAAUACCCAUUGCGAAGGCGAUCUACUGGAACUUAACUGACGCUAAUGCGUGAAAGCGUGGGGAGCAAACAGGAUUAGAUACCCUGGUAGUCCACGCCCUAAACGAUGUAUACUGGUUGUUGCUAUGCUAGUCAUGGCAGUAAUCCACCUAACGGAUUAAGUAUACCGCCUGGGGAGUACGGUCGCAAGAUUAAAACUCAAAGGAAUAGACGGGGACCCGCACAAGCGGUGGAGCAUGUGGUUUAAUUCGAAGAUACGCGAAGAACCUUACCUAGGCUUGAUACCCAACAAAUCUCUUAGAGAUAAGAGAGUGCUAGCUUGCUAGAAUGUUGAGACAGGUGCUGCACGGCUGUCGUCAGCUCGUGUCGUGAGAUGUUGGGUUAAGUCCCGCAACGAGCGCAACCCACGUAUUUAGUUGCUAACGGUUCGGCCGAGCACUCUAAAUAGACUGCCUUCGUAAGGAGGAGGAAGGUGUGGACGACGUCAAGUCAUCAUGGCCCUUAUGCCUAGGGCGACACACGUGCUACAAUGGCAUAUACAAUGAGACGCAAUAUCGCGAGAUGGAGCAAAUCUAUAAAAUAUGUCCCAGUUCGGAUUGUUCUCUGCAACUCGAGAGCAUGAAGCCGGAAUCGCUAGUAAUCGUAGAUCAGCCAUGCUACGGUGAAUACGUUCCCGGGUCUUGUACACACCGCCCGUCACACCAUGGAAGUUGGGGGCGCCCGAAGUUGGUCAAGAAAUAGAUUACCUAAGGCGAAACCAAUGACUGGGGUGAAGUCGUAACAAGGUAGCCGUA